ACUUGUACCAUCCAUGGGAAUAUGAGAUAAAUCUAGAACAGACAAAAUCUAUCACUGCUUAAAUGUGCUAAUCGUAAUCGUGGAUGAUAAUUUGGCACUCCUUUAAUGUCAUGCAUAGUGAUUUCCACCAUAUACCAUUGCCUUGUCACUAAAUCGUAUUCCACCACCCACUUCUUAUCUGCUUGAAACCAGAAAAUCUUGCUUCAACGACCGGUUGGUUUCUUGGGAAGAGACUAAAACCACUAUUAUAAGCCUCCUCAAACCUUUGUAGGCUACGUCUUGCUGCCCACAUCAUAAACUUGCAGAUACUAAUUAGCACUCGAACUUGAGCCCACCACAACUCCUAUGGCGACUGAAAAGAUGUGAUCUUGUGGACCGGGACGCCGUGGCAAGUCUGGUAAAGAGUCGCACUCAUUCAAUAUCACGUCAAACUCCAUGCCCCAAGGUUUAUCAUGCUUAUACCCUUCUAAACAAUAGAGCUUGCCACACAAGAAGAGAGCUAGUAGGGAGGCGUUCGUACUUCGGAACACGCUGUAUAUUGGCACAUUUUCAAACCAUAUAAAUUCUUUGUGAUGUUUUCACUCCUUUUUCUCCUUAACUUUUUUUUUUUUUGGUUGAGAUUUCCUUACUUUUUCACUUAAUUGCAUGGAUCAGCGAUCCUCAUCAUGCCCUUACUGUCAUGCGCUAGUAUGGAUUGAUUAGUAAGAACUAUUAUCUUGCUCUAAGAACAUAAUUACAGUAUUAUUUUGAAAUAACAUCUCAUAAUUCUACACUACAAAGCUAGAUGCCAUGGAUUCAAAAUUUCAAAUACAUCUACUUGAAAACCGGCGGCUUAAAAUUUCAUCUAAAACUUGAAGAUAAAAAGGUUUAUCUAGAAUUUGAGUCCAUUUGUUUUAAGAAGCAGAGUUUUAACUAUGGAGUUUUAAAAGCAUUCACAACAAAGGUGUGAAAAAUGCUAAAAACCUAUUCACUUCAAGGUUGCUAUACUUAAAAAUUUUGACAACCUUAAACUGUCAUCUUUGACAGUUUACUAUAGCAACAAACUCAUAAUUUUUUUAUAUAUUAGAUUUCUCUCUCUUCUCUCAAUAAAUUUCUCUCUCUCUCCGGCUUCUCUCUUUUUUCCUUCUUUCUCUCUUUUUCUCUUUCCUUCUCUCUAGUCUCCACUGCCUCUCUUCCUCUCUUUUUUUUUUUCUUUUUUUUUUUUUUUUUUUAAAUUUCUUCUUCUCUCUAGCCUCUCUUCUCCCCUCUGGGUUUGUCGGUUGACUUCACAAGUUGGGGUUGGCGUUCUUGGCGUUUUGGGUUGUUCUUGGCAUUUUUGGGUCGGCAUUCUUAGUGUUUUUAGGUUGAGAUCAGAGAGGCUAUGGUAGGUGGUGGUCAUUUGUUUGGCUGGGGUUGAGAUCAGACUGGUUUGGUUCUGGCAGAGGAGCGUGGGAUGAAGGGCCCAAACAAGGAUAUUGGGCUGUGGGCCACAUUCGAGGACGUCAAAGAGCCCGAAGACAGGUAUGUAUUAGUGAAGGCAAGUAGAUUACUGGGCCAAGGGAGAGGUCUGAUCGUAGUAGACAAGUGCCUUUGUCCAAGGAGCAACCCCUCCUCGGCCAACAGAGUGGCAGCCUGAAAUCCAACCACCCAUCAGGUACUGGGCAAAGGGCAACCAUGCUCGGGAGGAUAAGUUUCAGAGAGAAGUGAGUCAACAGAGAAUUGAGAAAUAUAUGGGAAGAAAGUUGUUACCACCGCAUUGAAUGCUCUGCACCUAACCAACUGGCCGCAUUAAUGUGGAGGUAAUACCUAAACAGUGACUUCUAGCCUCACAGCUACCCAGAAAGACUUCAGGUAAAUGCUUAUGGGACAAGUUUCAAGGAGAUUAGCAAUCUAAUCUACAUGUGGACGGCUAAGAUGAAAGAAGGAAAAGGGGUAUAAAAGGCGGAGGACUCCAUUAUCGGAGGGGGCAUCAGAAAACCAGAAAAGAAAUUACUAUGUAACGAAAAACUUGAAUAUUUGUAUAAGUUUGAGAAAAAUAUAAAAGAACAUACCAUCCUCGAACCUGACCAAGGAGUAUUUUUCUUUUCA